GAUGCACAUUGUUCAAUGCAUCACCACCUACAAAACAUUUUAAAUAAGAAAAGAUGCACAUAAUCACAGUGCAUUUAGCCAGUCAUCUGACAUGUUUAAAAGUACCCUAACAGAGUCCAAGUUCAAUGCCAUUUAGCAUCAAUAUUCCAUAGAAACUAUCUAUUUCCAGAAACUUUAGAAUACAACACACACACAGAGACCAGUAAAGUUAAUGAAGAAGGGAUAAAAAUAUAGACAAGCAGAACUUCACAUUAAUUUAAUGAAUGAAAGUCAUGAGACAAGUAGAAAACAUUUUCAUGCACAUACUUUGUUACAUACAAGAGGAUUAGGUUCAGGAAAGCAGUUAGGGAUGUCUGAAUAUUUGUAACAGAAGCAGUUAUGGAUGUCUAAUAGUGGUUAGAAGUAUAGCUGGAGUUCUUAAAAGUAGUUAGAAUUGGUAGGAACAGUAAUGAGCUGCAUAAAGGCAGCUAGGAGGCUGGAUGUAGUGCAUUUUCCAAUCUCUAUCCUUUCUCUCUUCUCUUCAAACUCUCUCUAAUUCUCUCUCUUCUAUCCACUAGUUUUCUUCUUCUUUCUCUAAAUUCCUUCAGCAAUACUCUGUUAGGAAUUCUUUUACUAUCAUACACAGAAAAUGUACAUACAUGUGCAAACAGCAAACCACAAACUACCCCAUAUCAAUAGUAGAAACAACAGGAAUAUAUAUCAAUGCCCAUUCACAAUGUUACAAGCCACAAAGUGGAUAAUGUAGCACUGAAAUGGAAAAUAAAGGUGACAUCGGUGAGAUGAUGUUAACUGUUAAGCAAUGUCAUUGAAUCUUGAAAAGUUUAGCUCAUUCCUGAAAACUGAAUUUUAAGCAAUGAAACAGACUCUUCUUUCAGGAAGAAAAUACAUCCUGAAAAGCAUGUUGAUGCCCAUAUUUUACAAUGAUAAGACAUAAUCAAAUGAUGUCCUUCAUGGCAUGAGCCAUGUCUUGGAACUUGAUUUAGCAUUAGAAUGGCCAACAAAAUGUAAGAAUAUAUAAUCACAUAUCCAAACGAAAAUUGUGCAUAAUACAAGAAAAGAAAUACUUUUUUUCCCAUACCCAUGUCUGAUUUCUCAGUUGCAUUGUCUGAUUUCUCUCCUACACAUUUUGAUGUAUUUUCAACAUAUCUAUGUUCUUGUUUUGAAGAAUCUGCAAUCUCUUUUCUAGCCUCCGGUGAUGUACUCCCAACAUUGUUUACCAGUCCCAGUAAUAGAGAAGCAUUGGAAGAGUCAAGACCAUUUUGAUUAGCUUGUGUCUCAUUUCUUGCUGCCAAAUUGUCUUGUUCAAUAGUCAUUUUCUUCUUAUCGGUUGCAAAAAUGGAUGAGAACCAAUUUCUGUUGAUUGCAGUUGUCUUUUGAACGUUUAGCACAUUUUCAUUCUCAGUGAUAUUGCUCUCUCCAAAAUGCCGAAACAAUUUAAAACCAUCUCCUGUAGGAAUGAAAAAGCUGAAGCACGAUAAGCAUCUGAAUAUCUCUGGUUCCCUGUCCCUAUUGUUAGCAUCAGCUGCAAGUGCUGGACUAGCACUUGAUUGAUUGUUAACCGUGUCAUGAACUUGAAAAUUGGCUGAAUUUGUAUUAAUGGACUUCAACUCAGAGUGAAAAUCUGUUUCUGAUUUAUUGUGCUUUGGUUUAUGACGUGCAUUUCGAAUUUUUGGUUUUCUUCUACGGAGAAUAACCCGUCUGGUAAUACAAGAGCUGCAGUUAGGGCAAUACAAAUCAUGAGUAUUUUGCUUCUCUAAUACCCUCUCAACAUCUAAUUCUGUCUCUUCCUGGUCAGUUUCUUCUAUUUUAUCAAAAUCUCCUUCUAGUAUAGUUUCAUUGUUGAUAGGCUUGGAUUUUAUAUUUUGCUCUUCAUGUGACUCCUCUAAAGGUGUUAAACUUGAACCAGAAAAACCUUCAUCAUCAAAAUUUUCACCAUAUUGAUCAUUUAUGUCCUUGAUUAGACUUUUCUGAACCUCCAAUUUCUUUAUAUGGACAUCCAUAUCUCUGCAAUUUGUCCCAGAAAUAGAACUAGUAACACUACCACUCUUCAUUUCAAAAACUCCAUCAAUGGAUUCAGUACCAUGGUGUUGAUCAAAGUAAACGCUAUUAUUAUGCAAUCUGCCAUCUUCCCCAACGUCUUUAAUUGGAGAUUCAUAUCCAGUUCCAUUUGCAGUCUUACUCUCCGAUUCAAUACUGCUGUCGUUACUGCUACCACAAGAACCAACAAUGCCUUUGCCAUUUCCAUUGCUAGAAAUAACAACAGCAUCAAUAGAAUUGUUGUUGCUCCGCCGAGACUGCCUGCUCUGCAGAGCCGCCUCCUCCUCCUCCUCCUCCUCCUUCUUCUU
rnacentral:misc_RNA from 1 species